rnacentral:rRNA from 1 species
GACGAACGCUGGCGGCGUGCUUAACACAUGCAAGUCGAACGGUGAAGCUCCAGCUUGCUGGAGUGGAUCAGUGGCGAACGGGUGAGUAACACGUGAGCAACCUGCCCCUGACUCUGGAAUAAGCGCUGGAAACGGCGUCUAAUACUGGAUACGAGAAGGGUCCGCAUGGGCACUUUCUGGAAAGUUUUUCGGUUGGGGAUGUGCUCGCGGCCUAUCAGCUUGUUGGUGCGGUAAUGGCUCACCAAGGCGACGACGGGUAGCCGGCCUGAGAGGGCGACCGGCCACACUGGGACUGAGACACGGCCCAGACUCCUACGGGAGGCAGCAGUGGGGAAUAUUGCACAAUGGGCGAAAGCCUGAUGCAGCGACGCCGCGUGAGGGAUGACGGCCUUCGGGUUGUAAACCUCUUUCAGCAGGGAAGAAGCGAAAGUGACGGUACCUGCAGAAGAAGCACCGGCUAACUACGUG